rnacentral:rRNA from 1 species
UUGAACGCUGGCGGCAUGCUUUACACAUGCAAGUCGCACGGUAACAGGCCUUCGGGUGCUGACGAGUGGCGAACGGGUGAGUAAUGCAUCGGAACGUACCCAGAGGUGGGGGAUAACGCAGCGAAAGCUGUGCUAAUACCGCAUGUGAUCUGAGGAUGAAAGCGGGGGACCGAGCAGCAAUGUUUGGCCUCGCGCCUUUGGAGCGGCCGAUGUCGGAUUAGCUAGUUGGUGGGGUAAAGGCCUACCAAGGCGACGAUCCGUAGCUGGUCUGAGAGGACGAACAGCCACACUGGGACUGAGACACGGCCCAGACUCCUACGGGAGGCAGCAGUGGGGAAUUUUGGACAAUGGGCGCAAGCCUGAUCCAGCAAUGUCGCGUGCGGGAAGAAGGCCUUCGGGUUGUAAACCGCUUUUGGCAGGAACGAAACGGUGUCCGCUAAUACCGGGCGCUAAUGACGGUACCUGCAGAAUAAGCACCGGCUAACUACGUG